UGUGUGUGUGUGUGUGCAUGUGAGUAACCAGAUCCACAAAUGUGUAAAAACAAAUCUGUGUGUGUGUAACCUUGUGUCUGUGAACAUCGGGCCACUUGAAUGGAUGUGUUCUUACACAUGACUUUUGCUACACUUCUGCCGUGGAAGAUCCACAAAUGCGUGCAGCGAUUUCUCUGUGAGUGCAGCU